rnacentral:misc_RNA from 1 species
GUGGAAGAAAAACAGACAGGUUUGCAGGGCAGUUUCGGAACCGUGCAGGCAGCCGCUCUGGAGCAGCGUUGUCAUACGUUACUCUUGGAGGCUGACAGGCGCGCUGUUUAUGCGCUACGCUCGAUGUAGUCCAACGAGUUGUUGAAGUAUGCGUUCUUGGGGCGGCUACCAGCGCACCCCUGCCAACGGCGGAUAACAUUCUCCGAGUUCGAUAUCCACCACCACUACCACUACCUGCUGUGGUGACUCUUUUACGCAAGGCGUGGGAUACGGAGACACUCAGGUGCGGGCUCGAGUCAAAAUAAGGCCGCGAGGAGACGUCGCGGCAGCCACCAGGCCGCAUCCAGCGCCGAGGCAAGCCCGAAGAAUCCGAAACAAAGGAAACAGAUCCAUUGCAGCAAAGACGGAUCCAGCGGUGCUGGAAUGUUUCGCUGUGGCUGGUUUCGCGCGAAGAAGAGCAUGAGCGCUAUGAAAAAACCACAGGCUAGAUUAAGUCCUAGGGAGGCGAACCCUUCCAUGACUGCCAGGAAGCCGCGUGGGUUCAUCACCGCGACUAAAGCGAUGAAGCCAUAGAAAAGCACAUAGAGCGCAUAACGCAGCGUUUUGGCGCCGGGUCGCGUCCGUUGUCCAUUGGACGCGAUACCCGCGCUGCUGGAGACGCUACCGUCAACCAUGUUAUCUACGACGCGAUUCAGCGGUGCGCUCGAGUGCGGAACCGUCGGCGACCCCCAUUGUCCCUGGUCUCCGUCGCCAGAUUCCACUGGAAAUGAGUCAUGUUCCCAGGACUUGCCGUGCUGCGAUGGGAGAUGUGCUCCCACACUGGUUGCCUCUUCCGAAACCCGUGCGGGCUUCUCAGAAACAAACCGGACGCCGGCAACAGCAGCCGGGCCGUCCCCCGCAAACGUCGACAAGGUUUGACUUUCCAAUACGCCGUCCUCGUUCAGCGUUUGGUUCUUUGCGCCUUGCUCAGCAGUUUGAUGGAAGGCACCAGGCAUGCGCGCCCAGGACGCCACCACUCCGUCAAUCAUGUGGCGCAGACCAGAGCCGAUCACCAGGAACGAAACCGUAAUCGACACUGUGAUGAAAAUAUUCACGAGGACCGCAACCGCUGGCGCUGCCUGUGCCCGAUGCUGCUCCAGAGCUGCAAUCAAUGGCACCGUACUGAUCUCGCCGAGCGCGUUCGCAGCCUCGAGGGAAACGACCACUCCCUCGCUACCCUGCGAUGGAGCAUCCGGAGUGGCCUGAGGCACAACAGCCAAGACCGAUACGCACCAGACGAUAUUGAGAAAAUAGCAGGUGAUGAGGCCGGCAAUCACUGCAGCGCGAUAACGACGCACUCCGCUUGCGCUUGGCUGCUCGCCCAGACGAGCGUACGUUACCGGCAUGACCGUGGUGAGACCUCCCAGCGCGACAGUUCCCAUGAGGAACGGCUCCAGAAAAGCGCUCCAUUGGUUGCGCCAGGGAUUUGCGAUCUCUGCUCCAAAAACGCCCACCACGAGCACGAUGACCACCAAAAGUGUAGCUUUGAUUCCCGUCGCGAUCGUUAGCACCGGCAAUACUGCACCCAGGCAGAAAAUAAGCAACGCGGUACCAACUGCACAGAAGAGUGCGAUCGACCACCUCGGUGCAAUGAAUGCGUUCAUGAGCGUCUGUUUGGACAAACGUCUCAGCGACGGUCGAAAGAGUGCAACAUACGCUUGCGGCCCCGCAAGUCCGUACGAUAUCAUAAUGGAAAUAAAAUGGAGAUAAACAGCCGCCUGAAACAGCA